rnacentral:rRNA from 1 species
AAGCUCUUGAUCGAAGCCCCGGUAAACGGCGGCCGUAACUAUAACGGUCCUAAGGUAGCGAAAUUCCUUGUCGGGUAAGUUCCGACCUGCACGAAUGGCGUAACGAUGGCGGCGCUGUCUCCACCCGAGACUCAGUGAAAUUGAAAUCGCUGUGAAGAUGCAGUGUAUCCGCGGCUAGACGGAAAGACCCCGUGAACCUUUACUGUAGCUUUGCACUGGACUUUGAGCCUGCUUGUGUAGGAUAGGUGGGAGGCUUUGAAGCGUGGACGCCAGUUCGCGUGGAGCCAUCCUUGAAAUACCACCCUGGCAUGCUUGAGGUUCUAACUCUGGUCCGUGAUCCGGAUCGAGGACAGUGUAUGGUGGGCAGUUUGACUGGGGCGGUCUCCUCCUAAAGAGUAACGGAGGAGUACGAAGGUGCGCUCAGACCGGUCGGAAAUCGGUCGCAGAGUAUAAAGGCAAAAGCGCGCUUGACUGCGAGACAGACACGUCGAGCAGGUACGAAAGUAGGUCUUAGUGAUCCGGUGGUUCUGUAUGGAAGGGCCAUCGCUCAACGGAUAAAAGGUACUCCGGGGAUAACAGGCUGAUACCGCCCAAGAGUUCAUAUCGACGGCGGUGUUUGGCACCUCGAUGUCGGCUCAUCACAUCCUGGGGCUGAAGCCGGUCCCAAGGGUAUGGCUGUUCGCCAUUUAAAGUGGUACGCGAGCUGGGUUUAGAACGUCGUGAGACAGUUCGGUCCCUAUCUGCCGUGGACGUUUGAGAUUUGAGAGGGGCUGCUCCUAGUACGAGAGGACCGGAGUGGACGAACCUCUGGUGUUCCGGUUGUCACGCCAGUGGCAUUGCCGGGUAGCUAUGUUCGGAAAAGAUAACCGCUGAAAGCAUCUAAGCGGGAAACUUGCCUCAAGAUGAGAUCUCACUGGGAACUUGAUUCCCCUGAAGGGCCGUCGAAGACUACGACGUUGAUAGGCUGGGUGUGUAAGCGUUGUGAGGCGUUGAGCUAACCAGUACUAAUUGCCCGUGAGGCUUGACCAU